rnacentral:rRNA from 1 species
CCUACGGGUGGCAGCAGUGGGGAAUAUUGCGCAAUGGGCGAAAGCCUGACGCAGCGACGCCGCGUGAGGGAUGAAGGUCUUCGGAUUGUAAACCUCUGUUAGCAGGGAAGAACGGUCACUGUGCUAAUCAGCAGUGAAUUGACGGUACCUGCAAAGGAAGCACCGGCUAACUCCGUGCCAGCAGCCGCGGGAAUACGGAGGGUGCGUGCGUUAAUCGGAUUUACUGGGUGUAAAGCGCUCGUAGGAGGUAUGGCAAGUCAAGGGUGAACUCCCCGGGCUCAACGUGGGGACUGCCUUUGAAACGGGCAUACUGGAGUGUGGGAGAGGAAAGCGGAAUUCCGGGUGUAGCUGUGAAAUGCGUAGAUAUCUGGAGGAACAUCAGUGGCGAAGGCGGCUUUCUGGCACAUAACUGACGCUGAGGAGCGAAAGCGUGGGUAGCAAACAGGAUUAGAUACCCCUGUAGUC